GCCUGGGUGGCUCAGUCGGUUAAGCAUCUGCCUUCGACUCAGGUCAUGAUCCCAGGGUCGUGGGAUCAAGCCCCACAUCUGGCU
rnacentral:tRNA from 1 species